CCUACGGGUGGCAGCAGUGGGGGAUAUUGGACAAUGGGGGAAACCCUGAUCCAGCGACGCCGCGUGAGUGAAGAAGUAUUUCGGUAUGUAAAGCUCUGUCAGCAGGGAAGAAAGAAAUGACGGUACCUGACCAAGAAGCCCCGGCAAACUACGUGCCCUCCGCCGCGGUAAUACGUAGGGGGCAAGCGGUAUCCGGAAUUACUGGGUGUAAAGGGAGCGUAGACGGUGGUGCAAGUCUGGAGUGAAAGGCGGGGGCCCAACCCCCGGACUGCUCUGGAAACUGUGGAACUUGAGUGCAGGAGGGGUAAGCGGAAGUCCUGGUGUAGCGGUGAAAUGCGUAGAUAUUAGGAGGAACACCAGUGGCGAAGGCGGCUUACUGGACUGUAACUGACGUUGAGGCUCGAAAGCGUGGGGAGCAAACAGGAUUAGAUACCCGAGUAGUC
rnacentral:rRNA from 1 species